rnacentral:rRNA from 1 species
CGCCUGGGGAGUACGACCGCAAGGUNAAACUCAAAUGAAUUGACGGGGACCCGCACAAGUAGUGGAGCAUGUGGUUUAAUUCGAAGAUACGCGCAGAACCUUACCNAACACUUGACAUGUUCGUCGCGACUUUAAGAGAUUAAAGUUUUCGGUUCGGCCGGACGAAACACAGGUGCUGCAUGGCUGUCGUCAGCUCGUGUCGUGAGAUGUUGGGUUAAGUCCCGCAACGAGCGCAACCCUCACUUUUAGUUGCCAUCAUUUAGUUGGGCACUCUGAAAGAACUGCCAGUGAUAAGCUGGAGGAAGGUGGGGAUGACGUCAAGUCCUCAUGGCCCUUACGUGUUGGGCUACACACGUGCUACAAUGGUAUCUACAACAGGAAGCAAGACGGCGACGUUAAGCAAAUCCUUAAAAGAUACCUCAGUUCGGAUUGCACUCUGCAACUCGAGUGCAUGAAGCUGGAAUUACUAGUAAUCGUGGAUCAGCGUGCCACGGUGAAUGCGUUCCCGGGUCUUGUACACACCGCCCGUCACACCAUGGGAGUUGGUUCUACCUUAAGGCAAGGUUUAAAACCCUUGACCACGGUAUAGUCAGCGACUGGGGUGAAGUCGUAACAAGGUA